UACGGGGGGUGCGAGCGUUGUCCGGAAUCACUGGGCGUAAAGGGCGCGUAGGUGGUUUGAUAAGGGUGUGGUGAAAGUCCGGGGCUCAACCCCGGAUCUGCCGUGCCGACUGUCAAACUCGAGGGCUGUAGAGGCAGACGGAAUUCCGGGUGUAGCGGUGGAAUGCGUAGAGAUCCGGAGGAAGACCGGUGGCGAAGGCGGUCUGCUGGGCAGUUUCUGACACUGAUGCGCGACGGCGUGGGGAGCAAACAGG
rnacentral:rRNA from 1 species